rnacentral:rRNA from 1 species
AUUGAACGCUGGCGGCAUGCUUUACACAUGCAAGUCGAACGGUAACAGGGAGCUUGCUCCGCUGACGAGUGGCGAACGGGCGAGUAAUGCGUCGGAACGUGCCGAGUAGUGGGGGAUAACGCAUCGAAAGGUGUGCUAAUACCGCAUACGUACUGAGGUAGAAAGUGGGGGACCUUCGGGCCUCACGCUAGUCGAGCGGCCGACGUCUGAUUAGCUAGUUGGUGAGGGAAAGGCUCAACAAGGCGACGAUCAGUAGCGGGUCUGAGAGGAUGAUCCGCCACACUGGGACUGAGACACGGCCCAGACUCCUACGGGAGGCAGCAGUGGGGAAUUUUUCGCAAUGGGGGAAACCCUGACGAAGCAACGCCGCGUGGAGGAUGAAGGCCUUCGGGUCGUAAACUCCUGUCGACCGGGAAGAAUGCACCUGACCUAAUACGUCGGCGUGUUGACUGUACCGGUGGAGGAAGCCACGGCUAACUCUGUGCCAGCAGCCGCAGUAACAC